GACGAACGCUGGCGGCGUGCUUAACACAUGCAAGUCGAACGGUGAAGCGCCUUCCUUUUUGGUGGGUGUGGAUGAGUGGCGAACGGGUGAGUAACACGUGAGUAACCUGCCCCCUUCUUCUGGAUAACCGCAUGUAAGUGUGGCUAAUACGGGAUAUUCUGGGUCUGUCGCAUGAUGGGUCUGGGAAAGAUAUUGUUUCGGUGGGGGAUGGGCUCGCGGCCUAUCCGCUUGUUGGUGGGGUGAUGGCCUACCAAGGCGGUGACGGGUAGCCGGCCUGAGAGGGUGGACGGUCAGACUGGGAAUGAGACACGGCCAAGACUCCUACGGGAGGCAGCAGUGGGGAAUAUUGCAGGAUGGGCGCAAGCAUGAUGCAGCGACGCCGCGUGAGGGAUGGAGGCCUUCGGGGUGAGAACCUCUUUCGCCAGUGAAGCAGGACUGCCUCGUUUGUGGGUGGGUUGACGGUAGCUGGAUAAGAAGCGCCGGCUAACUACGUG
rnacentral:rRNA from 1 species